rnacentral:rRNA from 1 species
AUUGAACGCUGGCGGCAUGCUUUACACAUGCAAGUCGAACGGUAACAGGCCGCAAGGUGCUGACGAGUGGCGAACGGGUGAGUAAUGCAUCGGAACGUGCCCAGUCGUGGGGGAUAACGCAGCGAAAGCUGCGCUAAUACCGCAUACGAUCUAUGGAUGAAAGCGGGGGACCGUAAGGCCUCGCGCGAUUGGAGCGGCCGAUGUCAGAUUAGGUAGUUGGUGGGGGAAAGGCUCACCAAGCCAACGAUCUGUAGCUGGUCUGAGAGGACGACCAGCCACACUGGGACUGAGACACGGCCCAGACUCCGACGGGAGGAAGCAGUGGGGAAUUUUGGACAAUGGGCGCAAGCCUGAUCCAGCAAUGCCGCGUGCAGGAAGAAGGCCUUCGGGUUGUAAACUGCUUUUGUACGGAACGAAACGGUCCUGGUUAAUACCUGGGGCUAAUGACGGUACCGUAAGAAUAAGCACCGGCUAACUACGUGCCAGCCGCCGCGUAACAC